CCUGAUUAGCUAGUUGGUGAGGUAAAGGCUCACCAAGGCGACGAUCAGUAGCUGGUCUGAGAGGAUGAUCAGCCACACUGGAACUGAGACACGGUCCAGACUCCUACGGGAGGCAGCAGUGGGGAAUUUUGGACAAUGGGGGAAACCCUGAUCCAGCCAUUCCGCGUGAGUGAAGAAGGCCUUCGGGUUGUAAAGCUCUUUCAGGAGGGAAGAAACGGUUGCAGCUAAUACCUGCGACUAAUGACGGUACCUUCAGAAGAAGCACCGGCUAACUACGUGCCAGCAGCCGCGGUAAUACGUAGGGUGCGAGCGUUAAUCGGAAUUACUGGGCGUAAAGCGUGCGCAGGCGGUUUUGUAAGUCAGAUGUGAAAGCCCCGGGCUCAACCUGGGAACU
rnacentral:rRNA from 1 species